rnacentral:rRNA from 1 species
CGGACUGGACCAGCGGCCGCCGGGGACCAUCAAACUCUUGUAUUAUCAGCAUCUUCUGAAUACGCCGCAAGGCAAAACAAAUAAAUUAAAACUUUCAACAACGGAUCUCUUGGCUCUGGCAUCGAUGAAGAACGCAGCGAAAUGCGAUAAGUAAUGUGAAUUGCAGAAUCCAGUGAAUCAUCGAAUCUUUGAACGCACAUUGCGCCCGCCAGCAUUCUGGCGGGCAUGCCUGUUCGAGCGUCAUUUCAACCCUCGACCUCCCUUUGGGGAAGUCGGCGUUGGGGACCGGCAGCACACCGCCGGCCCUGAAAUGGAGUGGCGGCCCGUCCGCGGCGACCUCUGCGUAGUAAACCAACUCGCACCGGAACCCCGACGUGGCCACGCCGUAAAACACCCAACUUCUGAACGUUGACCUCGAAUCAGGUAGGACUACCCGCUGAACUUAA